rnacentral:rRNA from 1 species
GUGCCUAAUACAUGCAAGUCGAACGGUCUUUCUAUGGAAGCUUGCUUCCACUGAGAAGAUAGUGGCGAACGGGUGAGUAACACGUGGGUAACCUGCCCAUAAGAGGGGGAUAACAUCCGGAAACGGGUGCUAAUACCGCAUAGUUUUCUUGAUCGCAUGAUCGGGAAAGGAAAGACGGCCUUUGUGCUGUCGCUUAUGGAUGGACCCGCGGCGUAUUAGUUAGUUGGUGAGGUAACGGCUCACCAAGACGAUGAUACGUAGCCGACCUGAGAGGGUGAUCGGCCACAUUGGGACUGAGACACGGCCCAAACUCCUACGGGAGGCAGCAGUAGGGAAUCUUCCGCAAUGGACGAAAGUCUGACGGAGCAACGCCGCGUGAGUGAAGAAGGCUUUCGGAUUCCGUAAAACUCUGUUGUCAGAGAAGAACAAGUUGGAGAGUAACUGCUCCAGCCUUGACGGUAUCUGACCAGAAAGCCACGGCUAGCUACGUGCCAGCAGCUGC